rnacentral:rRNA from 1 species
AGUGAACGCUGGCGGUAGGCCUAACACAUGCAAGUCGAACGGCAGCACAGGAGAGCUUGCUCUCUGGGUGGCGAGUGGCGGACGGGUGAGGAAUACAUCGGAAUCUACUCUGUCGUGGGGGAUAACGUAGGGAAACUUACGCUAAUACCGCAUACGACCUACGGGUGAAAGCAGGGGACCUUCGGGCCUUGCGCGAUUGAAUGAGCCGAGGUCGGAUUAGCUAGUUGGCGGGGUAAAGGCCCACCAAGGCGACGAUCCGUAGCUGGUAUGAGAGGAUGAACAGCCACACUGGAACUGAGAAACAGUCCAGACUCCUACGGGAGGCAGCAGUGGGGAAUAUUGGACAAUGAGCGCAAGCCUGAUCCAGCCAUACCGCGUGGGUGAAGAAGGCCUUCGGGUUGUAAAGCCCUUUUGUUGGGAAAGAAAUCCAGCUGGCUAAUACCCGGUUGGGAUGACGGUACCCAAAGAAUAAGCACCGGCUAACUUCGUGCCAGCAGCCGCAGUAA